rnacentral:rRNA from 1 species
CCUACGGGAGGCAGCAGUAGGGAAUAUUGCUCAAUGGGGGAAACCCUGAAGCAGCAACGCCGCGUGGAGGAUGAAGGUUUUCUGAUUUUAAACUCCUUUUGUUAGAGAAGAUAAUGACGGUAUCUAACGAAUCAGCACCGGCUAACUCCGUGCCAGCAGCCGCGGUCAUACGGAGGGUGCAAGCGUUACUCGGAAUCACUGGGCGUAAAGAGCGCGUAGGCGGGAUAGCAAGUCAGAUGUGAAAUCCUAUGGCUUAACCAUAGAACUGCCUUUGAAACUGUUAUUCUAGAGUAUGGGAGAGGUAGGUGGAAUUCGUGGUGUAGGGGUAAAAUCCGUAGAGAUCAAGAGGAAUACUCAUUGCGAAGGCGACCUGCUAGAACAUAACUGACGCUGAUGCGCGAAAGCGUGGGGAGCAAACAGGAUUAGAUACCCUGGUAGUC